rnacentral:ncRNA from 1 species
UUUACGGAGAGUUUGAUCCUGGCUCAGGAUGAACGCUGGCGGCGUGCUUAACACAUGCAAGUCGAACGGUGAAGCCAAGCUUGCUUGGUGGAUCAGUGGCGAACGGGUGAGUAACACGUGAGCAACCUGCCCUGGACUCUGGGAUAAGCGCUGGAAACGGCGUCUAAUACUGGAUAUGAGCCUCUUCCGCAUGGUGGGGGUUGGAAAGAUUUUUUGGUCUGGGAUGGCGUCGCGGG